GUGGGCGUGGUAGAGUGGUUAAUACGCCCGGUUGUGGCCCGGGAGAGCGAGGGUUCGAUUCCCUCCGUCCACCCCA
rnacentral:tRNA from 2 species